rnacentral:lncRNA from 1 species
UAAUCCAGGCUUGGUAUAUUUUGGUCAUAUGUCCUUUCAACCUUAAGACCUCUUCUUUCAACUCAGAUUCUGAUUCAACAAUUCCCUUAGACGGAUCAAUAACCCCUGUGUCCAAGUCUUUGCUAGUCAUGGCUACCUUGCUCUUUGACCUUGUGUUGUAUGAGCGAGUUACUUAAGAACCACAAACCAACCACCCUUCUGCUCAAUGAAGAGAACAAAAGGAACAAAAUGGGGUCAUCCUGUUAGUAUUAGGGCAUUUAACAACUAAAAAUAUUACAUUGUUUGCAAUGCACCUAGCAACAAUUAACGGUUCUAGAAUGACUUCGAGGGUCACAAGAUCACUUGGCAUCAUCCCAAUUUUGUUCAUUUCAAUCUUCUCUUUUCUUUCUUUUCUAACACUUCUUGGCCUGCUCAUUUUUCUUCCUCUCUUUUUCUUCUAAUUAUCACUCUUUUUUUUCCUCUUAUUUCUCACAUCCCAUAAUUUCAUCUUCUUCUUUUUUUGUUUUUUUGUUUCCUUCUUCUUCUUCUUUUUUCUUUUUCUUUUAAUAAAAUAAAAAAAUGAUUCGAUCGAACCCUAUAUAGGUUGUCUACGUAUCAUGACACCGCAUGAAUCAGACCAAGCGUAGUUCUGGAAGAUCGGGAAUAAAGGAAACAAACUAACGUUCUCUUUUCUUUUUUUCCUUUUUUUUUACCUUAAUGAAUACUCUAAUGAGAAAAAGGAAGGAAAUCUCUCUUUUUUUUUUAGACUUAAUGUUCUAUAAUCUAUUCUAAACUAAAUCUUAAACAAGCAUAUAUUUUUCUUUUUUUUCUUUUUUGAAACUAAUAUUCUACAAGAAAUUAUUAAGGAAAAACCCUUAGAAAAGAAAAAUAUUUUUUGAUUCUUUUUUUAGGAAGUAAAUCUAAAGAAUGAACCAAAGAAAAAAAAUUUAAAUUUUCACUUGAUAUCCUGAAGAAAGAUUUCGAAACAAGCAAUAAAAAAUAUAAAAAUAUUUUUGGAUUUCAGUUUUUGAUUACCUAAGGGAGAAACUCUAAAGAUAAACAAAAGAUAAAGUAUGUUUUUUUUCUUUUCUAUGUACAAUGUCCUAAAGUUCUAGUGAAAAUAAAAAGAAUAUAUAUUUUUUUUAAUAUAUAUUUCCCAAAGAAGAACCUCAAAAGAAAGUCUUUUUUUUGGAUUUUUGGAAUUAAUAUCUUAAGAAAACUUCUAAAGAGGUAUUAAAGAAAAUUCUCCCUUUUUUUAAAAAUUUUUGGUCUUAAUUACUAAAGGAAAUAUAAAAACAAUUUUUAUUUUGAGUUCUAGAUGUUAACUUCCUGAGGAAAACCACUUCAAAAGAUUUUUUUUUUUAAAAAAAUUAGAAUUCUAAAGAAAAUUCUAACGGAUAUAUAAAACGCAAAAUCUCUUCUUCUUUUUAUUUUUGAAUUAUAAUACACUUUUUCAAAUACAAAAUAGGAAGUACUAUAACAAAAAACUCGACAUUACUGUACAAACUAAAAGGUAAAAGACAACAUAAAAAGAAAAAGACUCAAAACACAAAAAUAAUAAAAUAAAAAAUAAAAAAAAUCUCCUUAAGCAACUCUUGAAUAAGCGAUCCUGACUGGGUGGUCCCAGGGUGUUUGUCAUGCUCAAACUGCGGUAAGUAGAUCCACACCUGUAUGAAAAAACUGAAACCAACACUAUGUGAGACAAUAACACUCCCUACUGGACACAUGCAAGACAUGAUUGAGACUAUUUUGCAAAACAACUUAUGUGGCCAAAAGGUGCCUAGAAGUGUAAACUCGACAAAAGUGACCUCUAAGACAUGAAAAAAUUACUUUACAGAAAUGACACAUUUUAUAAAAAUGGUCUAUGUGGACAAAAAUGGCUAAGCAUGCAAAUUCAACACAAUGGAUCUUAAACAGAGAGAAAAUCUUGUUGUGGACUUAGAACUCAAAAACAUGGGCUAAUUGAACUACUUUUGGGUAAAUAACCCUAUUUUGCAAAACGGCCUAUGGGGCCAAAAGCGGCUAGACAUGCAAAUUCGACAAGGACGGACCUUAAAGUAAAGAGACACCUAAUUGUGGAUUGAAGACUCUCCUGACACAAUUAAACAAACCACUUUGCGAAAAUAGCCCUAUUUUGCAAAAUGACCGAUGUGGCCAAAAGUGGAUAGACAUGCAAGAUUUGGCUAUGACCCUCGAAGCCAAGAACCUAAGACUCACUAGAAGGACCGGACCCUAUGUAGGUUGCCUACGUAUCCCGUCCGGAAUGACGAGAAUCAGGUAUGCGUAGUUCGGGAAGAUUGGAUACGGGCGAGAAUAAAACAAACAACUAAUUUAGAGAAAAUAUAUUUUUUAUCUUUUUCUUGAAAAAUGAUGAAACAUGUAAAAUCUUUUUGGAUUUUCUUUUCUCUUUUUUUUUUGAUUUUUUUUUAAAAUGAUGGGAAAGUGCAAAAUCUUUUUGGAUUUUUUCAUUUUCAUUUUUUUUGGUCUUUUCUUGGAAAAACGUGAAAAGAAAUUAUAAUUGGGCCCUACUUGCUUUAUUUUAUACUUCACCCUCUUUUCUUUCUCAUUUAUCCUAAACCCUUAUUGGUCCGCCAAAUGACACCUUUUACCCUUGAAGAAUGUAAUAUAUAGCACAUAAGAUGCAUCAAGAUGGUCUUUUAUUUUUGGGUACACCUAUCCUAGACAGAUCCAACCCCUGUGUUGAGUCCCUAAAGUCAAAUGCACAUAAUGCAAAUAAGCGUUCCUACUAGGGAUCUGUCAUGAGACUGUGUUAUUCUAGCUUUAAAUUCUGGGUGUAUUGUUUGAGACCUGGCUUACCCGAGCGAACAACUCGAGCUGAAGAGAGCUACAUAUCAUGAACCAAAAGGCCAUCAGGCUUUGUAACUUGUCCGAACCUCAUUCAAAAUUAGGGUAUGACACUAACAGAAAAGGAGUCAUGCCAGCGUGCACUUCCUAGAAGAUUAGAAGAGAAGGGUUUCGCAACAGUUUAUAUACAGUUCAAAUAAUAUCAAAGCGAUAAAAAGCGGCAUUUAGCACAUUAGGCCCAAGCAUGUAAUAAAAAUCAGAUAAUAAAUAAAAGCCAAAUAUAACAAUUAUUCUAAGCUCGAAUUCUUGAACCCUGAACCAGAGAUCCUAGGUUCUUGUCCCCAGCAAAGUCGCUAGAGCUGUCACACCUCCUUUUUCUACCCCGAAAAGGGUAUAGGAGAGUUUUUCCAACUAAAGUGACAAUAAUCGAAACAGGAUUGUUUAUUCAAAUUCAGAGUCGCCACCCCAGUUUAAAAUCCCGAAUCAAGGAAGAUUGACUCUAUUUUACAGUCCGCAAAACAUAGAAAUUCGGGUAAGAAAUUUUGUUAACCCGGAAGAAGGUGUUAGGCAUUCCCGAGUUCCAUGGUUUUAGCAUAGUCGUUCAACUAUUAAUAUUGGCCUAAUUAUCUAAUUUAAUAUAUCUUUGAAACCUAUGUACAUUUUAUUCCUUUUAACCGCUUUUAACAUUAGAAUAAAUCACGAUUGUCAUACACUUGUUAAUUUGGUACACAUUACGAAUCGUGUUACAGGAACCGUACUCACGAUCUACAACAUAUUUAAUUUAUUAACAAAUUAGAAAUAGUGGUCUGGUCACAUAAGAUGUACCCCGAAUUUGAAAAUUAUUUAUAUUUAUCACAAAUACGUCACGGGAACCGUACAUGUAGCUAUGAUAAUUUUUAUUAUAGCGCGCCUAAAGCAAACUACGAAUGCUCAUAAUUUAUUCAACUUUUAAACCCAAACCCCCACGGUCCAAUUCAAUAUAAAAAACAGCGAGAAUAUCAAAUCUCUUUACGUUUUUAAAUCCAACAACUACUAUAAGAAACAAUUUCAAUUAAUGCUCCAAGUUCCUUUCUUACCUAACCAUAUUCAAAGCUAGAUAUUAAACAUCAAUGGAACUGAUGACAAGAACGAAAACAGAACUCAUCCUUGAUUAAGAGGAAAGAAUAUUGAAGUCAAAAAUCCCAACUCUGUACAUUUCCGGAACAAAGCCAAUUGACACCACAAUGUUAAACAAAGCUAACAAAAUAUGCACAAGAGCCAGAUUACAGUGAUACGAUAAACACCACAAUCUUAUGAGCAGAUUUAACAAAAGACUUAAUACACAAACCAAAUUUUAGUGAUUCAAUAGAUCCUUUAUCCGGUUAAAUCAACUCAAAUCUAAACCUUGCAACUCUGAAAAGUAGCCAAAAUUAAAUCAAAUUAUCCGGUUUAAAGCAGAAACUAUUAUUUAAAAUAUCCCAUAACAUCACGUAAUCGUACAGUAGUCGAAACUGAAGCAUCAAAUCAUCACAUAAGUAACGAAAUGAAACAGAGGAAGAAGAAACCGAGUAAUGAAAUUUUCAGAGAAACAAAGGAAAAAUUAUUACACAUUUCAAUGUAAUAGAGCAUCCAACGACAAUUACAGCAUUUCAAAUCGAAAGUUCAUACCUGAAACGCGAAUAAAAUCGAAAAAAUAAACCAGAACAAAGACCAAAUCACCACCGGAGCUCGAACGAAAAACCCAUCAACGAACUCGAGCUCGAGCUGAAUUUUUGUGUUCAAGUGUUGUCUUGGACUGAAAAUCACCGGAAAAUACACAAGCUACCAGAAAUAUUAGAUUCAUCCGGAUCUGAUUUGGGAUUGGAGUUUAGGUGAUGUCCAUGGCUGGUUUAAGGUUUUUGGAGCUGAUUUCGACUGCAAAUCUGGGCUAUUCUUGAUUGGUUCCUCGGUUGGAUUCCAGCUGGUUUCAGAGGUUUUUCAUUGUUGUUUAGAACUGGUUUCGAGAGAGGUUGGGGUAGUGUGUGGCUUUAGGUUGCUGGGUUUUGGGUGGGAAUCGUUGCUGAUGAUUUAGGGUGAAGAAGAAGAAGGAGCUCCGAUGAACUGGGUGGCUGGGCGAUGGGUCUGGUGUGAAGGGGUGUCGCCGGCGAUUUUGGAGAAGAUCUAGCGGCUGGAACGGGGCAGUCGACUUUUUGGUUAUCUCCUUGAAGAAGAAGACGUUCAGGUUGGGGGGGCUUGUUUUCUUCAAAAACGGUUGUUUUGUUCUUCUGUGAGUGAUGAGAUCUGCUCCUAGGUCUUAGAGUUUUUUGUAGGUUUUUUCAUGAAGAAGAAGAGUGUGCUCAAGGCUCUCCCAGGUCCAAACGGCUGAUGAUUGUUUUAGGUCUAGGGGUUGUUUUUAAGCUUCUUUCU